UCCGGCUUGACGCCGGCAGUCCCCCGAGAGUCCUCAGCAUGACCUGUUAGUAACACGGCGGUCAGGAACAUGUCAAACCCAGGUAAGGUUCUUCGCGUUGCGUCGAAUUAAACCACAUGCUCCGCUGCUUGUGCGGGUCCCCGUCAAUUCCUUUGAGUUUUAGCCUUGCGGCCGUACUCCCCAGGCGGGGCACUUAAUGCGUUAGCUCCGGCACGGGAGGAGUCGACACCUCCCACACCUAGUGCCCAUCGUUUACGGCGUGGACUAC
rnacentral:misc_RNA from 1 species